rnacentral:rRNA from 1 species
GACGGGGGAUGCAAGCGUUAUCCGGAAUGAUUGGGCGUAAAGCGUCUGCAGGUGGCAGUUCAAGUCUGCUGUCAAAGACCGGGGCUUAACUUCGGAAAGGCAGUGGAAACUGAACAGCUAGAGUAUGGUAGGGGCAGAGGGAAUUCCUGGUGUAGCGGUGAAAUGCGUAGAGAUCAGGAAGAACAUCGGUGGCGAAGGCGCUCUGCUGGACCAUAACUGACACUCAGGGACGAAAGCUAGGGGAGCGAAUGGG